GGGUGUUCCUUGUGACAGUGCCGCUCUGUGACACCCACCCCAGCAGGUGGGGACCCACAGCAGGCAGGGGGCUCAGUCCCAGCAGGCAGGAGUGCCUCUGUAGCCAUCAUUACUUGGAACAUUUACUAACAAUGGGAAGAUCUC